rnacentral:lncRNA from 1 species
UGAAAGGGGGAAAAGAGCUUAUAUAGAGCUCGUGCUAAACAAGACCAAACGGUCAUCAAACUCAAAAGGAAAGAAAAUAAAUCCGAGAUAACAAUCUGGUCGCCAUUGAUGAGCCUCUUCUAGCCGUUAGGCUUUAAUGAUAUUGCAAUUCUCUUGUUGCUUGAAGAGAACGAGAAGCUUCUUAGGUUUUUAUUUAGAGAUGGACGGCUGAGAUCAUCUGAGGUGAGUGGAGGGUCCAGAUCACCUGAUAUGAUUAAGUGAUGCUUCCCACGUCUAAGUGAAACUCGCAUGUUGCCGUUUAUGGCAAGACUUUUAAUAUCUUGGCCGAAACAACAUAGUUCUGGAAAAAAAAUUUGUCUUGGCAUGAUCUAGUGGUCUGGGGUCCUUGGUAGCUUCAGUAGACACCAGAACACUUGAAGCUGAACCUCUUGUGUGAAAGGAACUCAGACUGUUCUUACUUGACGCAAACUGAUCCAUGCAAGAGUUUAGGCGUUUAUGGAUGGAUCCAGGUCUUUCAAAGUUGGAUCUUCAGCUAUUGGGCUCCAUAAGAGACCCCAGUAAGUGGACUUAUUAGCAAAUGGAUCAGGCCGUGGUGGUCUUGGAGUGAAACGCAUCGUUUCAGGGCCAUAUGUCUUAGUGGUUGAUCCGUAGAGCAUUGCAACAGUAAUUACGGGUUUUGGUCGGGCCAAAGGUGAAGUGACUCCAUCAAAGUCUUCUCCUGGGUAAAUGUGGUAUCCAUCAACUGGUUUGGCAUCUGGUUCCUCCGGUUCAGCUUCGGUAAGGCUCGUCUUGGCUACAUGUAAGGCAUCUCGGAUAUCCCGCAAUCUGGGUGGAGUCAAAGGUGUUUUGAUUCGACCGAAUUUUUCUUGGGCAUUUAUUGGUCAUGAGAGAAGUUAUCCCUCAGCUGACAUAGGGCCUGUAUCAUCGCCGGCAUCAUGAACGGUCUUCUCGGCCAAGUUUAAGGUAACUCGGUUAUCUCUUGUUCCAACUCGGGUCAAGGGUGGUUUGUCUUGAUAAAUGUGUUCAGCAUAUGCACUUGUAUGGUGAAAGUGCAACCCCUCAGUUGGUUUUACGCAUGGGUGCUCCGGUUCAGCUUCGAUAAGACACCAGUCAACCUCUAUAUAGCACAGGUCAGCUUCAGAUAGGCUGUCUAGCCUUCCUCGGGUCAUUGGGGUCGACUCUGGUGGGCUUGCUGUCUAAAUAUCCAUAUCAUACCCUUCCUCUUGAAGAAGCUUCAUCCUCAAAACUUGAUAUCACCGUAUUUUUACCAUUUUUAUGGAUCAUUUUAAAUGUUUUAUGCAAGUAUUUUAACUCAGUUUUCAAUGUUUUGUAAGUGAUUUCUAUGUUUUAGAGUUUUCAAAGAUUUUUCAGGAAACUUGGACUUAUGAAGUAUAUUUUGAAGCAAAAGUACAUUUUUGGAUAAAUUCAGGCUGUCAGAAGUUUGGCAACCAAUGAAGAUCUUCAUACUGUCUGAUCAUCCCUUAAUUUGAAGACAUUAUAGAGGAUACAACUAGUUUUCCAAUGCACUUAGAAUUGAUGCAAUCCAACGGUUAGAUCUCUAGAUAUCAUCAAUGCACUGAAGGCAAAUCAACACAGUCCGAAAGGUGAAGUAGCCCUCACCCGCGGCCGAAGCAACUUACACCGUGGCUCAGUCCUUGUCAUCUGCGCUAGACUCAAUUCCGAGCUUCAGAAGCCCAACUCAAGACCCAACUCAUUUCCUGCACUUAUCUUACAAAUCCUAGACGCCCAAAAGAGAGGAUAGACUAUAAAUACAUUUUCUUUAGGUCUUUUGUAACUAAGCCUCUUUUAUGUUUUAGAGAGAGAGUACUUUAUUUUAGGUUUUAGGUUUUCCUUUUAUGCUUUUGUAGAAGACUUUCUCGCUAAACCUGUCUUCAAUAAAGAAGCUUUUCU